ensembl:misc_RNA Metazoa_SRP Metazoan signal recognition particle RNA
GCCAGGUAUGGUGGCGCAUGCCUGUAAUCCCAGCUACUCAGGAGGCUGAGGCAGGAGAAUCACUUGAACCCAGGAGGCAGAGGCUGCAGUGAGCCAAGAUCAUGCCACUGCACUCCAAUCUGGGCAAUACAGUGAGACUCUGUCUCAA